rnacentral:rRNA from 1 species
CUACGGGUCGCAGCAGUGGGGAAUUUUGGACAAUGGGCACAAGCCUGAUCCAGCAAUGCCGCGUGCAGGAAGAAGGCCUUCGGGUUGUAAACUGCUUUUGUACGGAGCGAAAAGGCUCUCUCUAAUACAGGGGGCUCAUGACGGUACCGUAAGAAUAAGCACCGGCUAACUACGUGCCAGCAGCCGCGGUAAUACGUAGGGUGCAAGCGUUAAUCGGAAUUACUGGGCGUAAAGCGUGCGCAGGCGGUUUUGUAAGACAGGCGUGAAAUCCCCGGGCUCAACCUGGGAAUGGCGCUUGUGACUGCAAGGCUGGAGUGCGGCAGAGGGGGAUGGAAUUCCGCGUGUAGCAGUGAAAUGCGUAGAUAUGCGGAGGAACACCGAUGGCGAAGGCAAUCCCCUGGGCCUGCACUGACGCUCAUGCACGAAAGCGUGGGGAGCAAACAGGAUUAGAUACCCCUGUAGUC